GAAAUGCGAUAAGUAAUGUGAAUUGCAGAAUUCAGUGAAUCAUCGAAUCUUUGAACGCACAUUGCGCUCUUUGGUAUUCCGAAGAGCACGCCUGUUUGAGUAUCGAAAACACCAUCACGACUUGGUCCCGGAGUUCGCUCCGGUCGACUUCGAGACGUGGAUUUGGAUGGUCCAGCAAUUGCUGGCCGUCUCAAAGAAGAGCGUUGGAAGCUGGAUCUCCUCUUUGCUGGGAUCGCUGCCCGAAAUGUUAUGAAUUGAGAUCCCUCUCGCGAGGGAGUUCUUCAUUUUUCUUUCUUGCAGUUCGAGCCCGGUUGGAGAACCGGUCGACCGAUUCACCCACUAACCACACGAGGGGUCGAGAGCAGUUUGUCUCACGAUUCGUCGAAUACUUGGUCUCAAA
rnacentral:misc_RNA from 1 species